ensembl:lncRNA
GUGAAGACAUACUACAAGAGUAUCAAACAACAGAAAUCCUAAUUGAUGACACAAGAAGACAAAUGGUUAACAUCCUGGUGGCUCACAUGAUUGUGAGUGGGUAUAUAUACACCUCCCCACAAAAGCAGUCAGAGAGAAGUAUCCUCUUGGUAUUUUGAUGCUGUUCCCUUCCCUGAAGAAUCCAUAUUCUAAGAAAGGCUAUGAACACUUCUGUGAUGCUGCAAGCACAGGAUACCUGUGGAUUCUUGGCGUCUGAAAACAGUCCAAAGACAAAUUUGGCGAAGAUCUGCGGUGCCACUAAAUAGCUCUGUCUGCUCAAUCAUACUACAGAAAAUUGCCUGAUUUUCUAGAAGAUGAGAGAGGCAUUUCAGCACUGUCAGAAGCUUGUUAAUGAGACAGGCAGAAGUGCUGAAAUCCUCUCUGUCUUCCCAAGAUUCCUG